UUAAACGUAUAGCACAUGUAAGGGGUAAGAUUAUUGUGUAGGCCGUUGAUCUGGGUGUUGAUUAACUUGUAUCUCCGUCUUCCAAUGUUCCUGAGAUGAUGGAACCGUUUUGUCGAAAUAUGUUCGUAGAGUUAGGUACGUGGGGAUAAACCAGGUUAGGCUAAGAAUUAGUCACAAGACACAGAGUAACAGAGUCAGAGGCGACGCAAGGCCAAGAACCAUGGCGACAACACCUCCUCGACGGCGGCGGCACGACUAGGAGUUUUGCCAACCACUACGACAGUGGCAACGACGUCUGAAGGAUUCCAACGGGGUGCAACCCCCUAGUCGACUUCCGGUGAGUCCUUUUCUUGUAUUUUUGUUUUGUUUCAGUUUUAACUUGAUGAACCGGGGUUGCUUUGGAUCAGAUCUGUUAUUUUUAGUGGCGGUUUGGUAA
rnacentral:lncRNA from 1 species